AUGGUUCCUGCCUAUUCCUUGUGGUAUUAUCAAUAUUUUCUAAUUGAACUGAAUUUCUAUGUGAUAACCUUCCAAAUCCAAAUCCUACUUCAGAAAGUGUAUAUGAGCAAAGGUCUGCACCUAAACGUUAUCAUAAGCGAGGUCUUAGACAAGAGCCCACUUGAUCUUGCUAAGCUUCGGGAGAUUGCUGUAAAAACUGUACGAGUAUGCGAACGUGAGAAAUCAAGCUCUCCCAUGGGAAAAUUCCUUGUACCGUUGGAUAUAACCCAAGCAAGCAAUAUGAUUACCAUGCGAAUGAAGCGAAGAACAUUCCUGACGUUGUUGUUCAUGAAUAUCUCAAACGCAUCAAGUAUGUCUUAG
rnacentral:rRNA from 1 species